CUCAUACUCCCUCCCUUCGGAAUUACUUGUCACAGAAAUGGAUGUAUCUAGACGUAUUUUAGUUCUAGAUACAUCCAUUUCCAAGACAAGUAAUUCCGAACGGAGGUAGUAUAAU
rnacentral:pre_miRNA from 1 species